UGAAUGAGUUGUUCUGACAGAGCUGAAGAAGCCAGAGUUGAGGACGGGGCGGGGGGGGGGGGGGACUGCUUGUGGUUCUAACCUCCAGAUCAGGGGCAGCUUCGUGGAGGAAGUGAAACUAGAACUAGAUCUUAGAGAGGGGUUUUUAAACAAGUGAGGGAGAGGGAAAAUAUGAUUGGACCAGUUUGGUUCAAGACAGGAUUUGGCCAAAACAGUUGAGAGGGAGCUGGAGAGAGCUCUGAAUAGAAGACCAAGGCAGCGGGAACACACUGGAAAUUUCUGAGCAGAGCGGGGACAGGGCACGACACACUGAUGCAUCAGCUGAUCGGAAUGGUGUCAUAAAGGUGGAAGGUUACUGUCUUGUCCAGGCCUGAGGCUUUGCUCGGAACCUGAAGGGGAGGGUGGCGUGGGCUGCAGCAGGAAUGUAAAGAGCAAAACUAUUUAAGAAAACCAAUGCCCACCCACAGAGGGCAGCAUCAGCCCACAUGGACCAGGAGGGACGGAGGAAGGAGCUUUUUCCUUGGAGGACACUGAGAGACAGGAAGCGAUUGAGGUGCCUGGACUGGAAGUGAUGCGUGCAAGGGCGUUCUCAGGGCCUUCAGACCUUAGACCUCAACACAGACAUAGAAAGAAACACAGGGAAUAAUUAUGCCCUGCAUCUCACCUGGGCGAUCUAAGCCCUACCACUGAUCUUCUUAGGUUCUCUGAGGAAGACGGGUUGCUGUUCGUCCUAUAAACUGGCUUUGCAAAGCCUUUCUCUCCCAGGUGAGUCUCUUCAUCCCGGGUUCCCCCAAAGAAGCUCAAAGCUCUAAGCAACUGCCACAAGAGGGCACCCCUCUACUCCUUCCUGGCAGCCUAAACUUAGACUGAGGACAGAGAGGAAUGGGCUAUCUUCUUCCUAGGUGCUCAGGGCCUGCCAUUUAGCUGAAGCACUCUCAAUUAUCAUUAUCCUGUUUUUUAAAUUAAUUAUUUUCUAUUACACAUUUUUUAAGAGGGCAGAUGUGUAUCUGCAUCUCUCUAUUUUUCUUUCAAAGAAAUAAUAACUCUUAAAAAGAGGAGGAGGAGGAGGUCAGGUCACAAAGGGCCGUGAAGAAAAUUAAGGAUUUUGACUUCGUGUAACAGCAAGAACUGGGUGUGUGGGCCA
rnacentral:lncRNA from 1 species